UGGCUCAGAUGGUAAAGAACCUGCCUGCAAUGCAGGAGACCCAGGUUCAAUCCCUGG
rnacentral:tRNA from 1 species